rnacentral:rRNA from 1 species
GCUGAUGCGUUGUUGGGUAGGGGAGCGUUCUGUAAGCCUGCGAAGGUGGCCUGUGAGGGUUGCUGGAGGUAUCAGAAGUGCGAAUGCUGACAUAAGUAACGAUAAAGCGGGUGAAAAGCCCGCUCGCCGGAAGACCAAGGGUUCCUGUCCAACGUUAAUCGGGGCAGGGUGAGUCGACCCCUAAGGCGAGGCCGAAAGGCGUAGUCGAUGGGAAACGGGUUAAUAUUCCCGUACUUGGUGUUACUGCGAAGGGGGGACGGAGAAGGCUAUGUUGGCCGGGCGACGGUUGUCCCGGUUUAAGCGUGUAGGUGUGUGUUCCAGGUAAAUCCGGUU